rnacentral:snRNA from 1 species
GUUCCCUGGAAAGGGGCGCCA